CUUCUUCUUCAUCUUCUUCUUAUCAUGAUCAAUAUAAACAGUUGGGUAUCAGCUGAACCCUUAAAUUGUUGUUGAUCAUACAAAAUGAAACUUCUCUAUAUUUGUGUUUUCUUCAUUAACCUAACUAUGAUCAAUCAAUAGCUGGAGAUUUUGAGCCUUUAACACGAUUCUUUUGCAGUCGGUUUCAUGGUAAUAUGCGCAAAUUAUAGCAGGUGGCAGACAGUGAUUGAAGUUUUCGGGCAUGACUCACUUGCUGCAUAUAAGAUUGAAAUUUUCCAUCUAUUCCUCUCUGUAACGUUACUGUCCAAAUGCUUCGUUAGCAUAACACGUGUCUCUUCCCCCGGUACUUCCGGGUCUAUAUACCAUGUAUCUUUUUCUUUCUUUCAUAGAAAACCUAGUCCAUGCAUCUUCCACAAUAGUCGUCUUUGGCUGUGUUUACGAGAGAGAGAGAGAC
rnacentral:lncRNA from 1 species